UACAGAGGUCUCAAGCGUUGUUCGGAUUCAUUGGGCGUAAAGGGUGCGUAGGCGGCGCGGUUAGUCGGGUGUGAAAUCUCGGAGCUUAACUCCGAAACUGCAUUCGAUACUGCCGUGCUUGAGGACUGGAGAGGAGACUGGAAUUUACGGUGUAGCGGUGAAAUGCGUAGAUAUCGUAAGGAAGACCAGUGGCGAAGGCGGGUCUCUGGACAGUUCCUGACGCUGAGGCACGAAGGCCAGGGGGAGCAAACGGG
rnacentral:rRNA from 1 species